GGGCAGCGAUCGGAGUGCGGCGGGGCGGGGAAGCGGCCCGGGGCCGCGGUCGGGGACUCGGGCCUGCGGCCUCACCUCGCCGUGCAGGAGGGUUGUUUUCCCCGGGUCCCAGUUCGGGACCGGCAGAGCGGCCGUCUCUUCGACUUGACGGCAAGGACGGAUUCCCAGAUUUGUAGCUUGUAGAACAAGCGGAGGCAACGACGGAGCCUUCAUUUGAGAAAGAGGCACAAUAGGAGAAGAUAUCGAAAAAAGGAUCAACUCCCCCUCCCCCUCCCGGUAACAGCUGGGAGAAAGGGACGAGCUGAGGAAUGUGACCCUCCCCCGUUCGUACCAUCGCGCAGCCGGAGAGAAGGGCGGGGGCAAAAGGGUCACCCGCGCAGACUCAGACUGCACGGGAAGUCUUGCGGGACAGAAGGGGUGGCUCCAGACCACCCGCCGCUCCAGGCACCCGCAUAGUCGCGUAGCCCACCCAUUGGUUCAGGCUGUGACCUUGGAAUUCCACUACGUAGCUAUUCAAACGCGAUGGACUUCCGUGUCCACCGCUGUGCGCAGCGGGUGGAAUAGCUCUGAGUGACUGACACAUCCCAAGCAACGUGAAUUUCCAUGUUACACGAAACAGAAAGGUGAACUUUUUGUUUGGCCUCAAAGAUGACAAGAAAGAGUGGGCAGGACUUCAAUUUUAUGCCACGCUUUCUUGUGAUAAAUUCCAGGUUGCAGCGCCAUUUGCUUUUAAUGCUCGCUCUGUGGUGCCUUUGAGUUACCAGUUUUUGGAGAGUUCUACUCAAAGUCCCUCUGAGGUGUAGAUUUUGACAGAAGUUGCACAAACCUCUGUUUGGAGUUCUCUGGUGCUUUGUGCUCAUCAAAUGGAAGGGCAGAGCAAGAGUGUCCUUGUGGGUUUUGUUGUUCGACUCAUUCAACUUCUGCCUGUCACCUGUGAUCAUCUCAGCCUCCAUGAGAGCAGGAAAUGGCUGUGGAGCACUUAUCUCAGGAGCCUGAGCUUUGCAGAGGUGGCCAUGUAUUGCAGCAGGGAAGAGGGAGCACUGCUGGAUGCUGCGCAGCAAACACUCUACCAGGAUGUGACGGUGGAGACAUAUGGGUCUGUGGCCUCACUGGCCCCCAAACCCAUGGUGAUCUCUGUGCUUGAAGGAGAGGAAGGCCCCUCGAUCCCAGAUGUGCACAGCCUGAAGGACACGGCAGGAGACCUCAGCCCAGGAUAUGGGAUCACAAAUACGAAGGAGAGGCUGCAGGAGAUGGGUGUGGCUGGAAGAAAGUGGAAUGGUGCCUCAGUGGGGAGAAUCAGAAGGGGUGCCCAAAGGGGUCGGGAGCAAGGGAAGCACUUCAGGAAGCCACAGGGAAACCAUCCAGAAGAGAGAGGGGAACCCCUUGGUCUGCAGCACAGGCCAAAAGCCUCUUGAAGACCCUGAGGAGCAAGGAAGCGUGCCAGAAGAGAAGGCAGAACCCAAGGGGCACCGGGGACUUCCAACACCUUUCCUUUCAGCAGGCUUCUCCACUGGAAUCUGCAGCUGAAUGUGCCAGCUCCUUUGCACAGACUCCCACGUGCUUUCCUCAGGGAAGUCCCUGCACACAGGCAUGGAAGGAGGCCCAGAACAUGAGAACCCUCCCUGCCCAGGACUGUUCCUGCGAUGUCAUCUGCAGUAGUGGAGGUCUCACCUAGCUGUGCUGAGAGCUGGGAGAGGGGAGAGGCAGAGGGAGGCCCAGGUGCUUAACCACAUCGAGGGAUUAGUUAUAAAGCAGAAAACCUUUGCGUUCGUAAGGCACUUCAAGUGACAUUUUGUGAAUCCAGAGGUGAAGGGGGUGUCCCUCAGCACAGGGAGAAGCUGUAGAGCUGCUCUGUCCACCUGUCCUGGCCUCAGCUGUCCUAUGCUGGCACGGGGGGAUGAUGCCUGCACUGAGGAGUUCCCCUGAAGACUCAGGAUGCUGAUGAGACCAGAGGAAUCCAGGUUCAAAGUGCAUGACCUCUCUCGUCCUACGUAUGGAGCAUAUCAUUUCUCUUUUCUGGCCAAGCACACAGUGAGCUCAUUGUGGCUGCCUGUGUACAGCCAUGCUGCAGCGAUUAUGUGGCUUCAGCACUGAGGUGUUCUCUCCAUGGAGCUGCUUGAUAACACGGAGCUGCUAUGGCAGAGCUGUGUCCUCGGGGAGCUCUCACCGCAGUCGAGGAGGAAACACACGGGCAAAGUCAAAUGUGCUAAGGAAUGAGCUGUCCUGAAUGGAAUGCCUACUGAGAGGCCACAGGCAUCAUUUCCAACACCUCAGAAAUUAGCAGAAGCACGGUUACUUUUCCUCAACAGCUGCAUCUGUGAAACUGAACUCAUAGCAUUGGUGUCUCAGCUGCGUCUGAAUUUUCAUCCCCCACCUAAGAGACUCCAAGGGCAACUUGUGACUUCCCCUGAAAUUAUCACUGGCAUUCUACUGCAGGGACGGAGGGCAGAACAGAGGGCAGCUCCAGUGAACCCUGAAGCAAAAGGCUAGUGGCACUGCACAAGCAAUGCUACUGCUUUCUGCACGCUGAGGGACAACAAAGGAUCUUCUGGUGGGUCCUGAUGACCCUCAGGGUGCUGAUUUAGGGGUCUCUGCCUCUUCAAGAGCACAGGCUGUUUGUAUUCCCACUGAGCCAAGGAUGACAAAACUGAAAGUGGAGACCAAGGAAAGCUCACCUGGAGGUAGCUAACUUGUCUCCCUUCAGUGAAGGUCCACUGGAAAUGCCCUGGGGUGCUGUGUAGCUUUCAGCCCCCUCCCCCCAGCAGCAGUUUUGUCAGCAGAAGGCCCCUGCCCUGCAGGAGGGCUGCUUCCCCCCCACGCAUCCCCCUGCCGUGCCCUCGGCAGCUCCCCAGGCAGGCUGAGUGCUGAACCGGCACACAGCCCCUAGGGCUCACCAGGGGACUCUGCUCUGCUGGACAGCCCUGGGCCCCUAGCUGCACCUCGGUUUCACAGCCCUGGAACACUUCUCCCAGAACCGCCUCUGGACUUGGAGUCAUCCUAAAAGAUUUCAUAAGCUUUGCGCUAUGCCACAGUGAGGGGACUCUCUGAGGAACUGCAGCAGCAUUGCGCAGCAGGCAGAGACUUACCAUGUUAUGGGCUGUGAGCGCUCAGCCUGCUCCCACUCAUAUGGCUGUUAGCACCUCUCCCUGUGCCAGCUGCAGGUCGUGCUGUGUGGUGCAGAGGAGCUGUUCCUCGGCAGAUCUGUCUCCCUGCAGCGCUUCCCACUUGUAUGAGCUCCUUGCAGCGCAGGAGCCCAGCCCAUCUCAGCAGCAGACGCCCAACCCAAGGCCUCCCUUUCUGACCCUCGCCAGGCUCCCAGGAGAUGGCCCUGGUGCUCCCAGGGAACUGCUGUGAGACAGGCUGCAGCAAUCCCUUCUGUUUCCCCCCUUGGAUGCACAAAGCUUUCUCUGAGAAGCGUUAUUUAGCCUCUGGCAAAAAUUGUUGGGCACAAGAAUCACCUUUCUGAUUAGGCUCACUUCAGCCUCCAAUAGAUAGCUCUUGAGAUCUGCCUGUCACUGCAGAAAUACAAUUGGGUUUUACCCCCUUAUGACUUGUUAGCAUUACAGUGCAUUGUGCUGUGGUGUCCACUAGAGCCUCAUAUUUCUGAGGUUCUGAUGUGGCAGGCCACUGAAUUCACAUCUCCAGUACACAGAAUUGUCCCUUCCUCUACCUGGCAGGAGACAGGGCCUCUUGAAUGAAGUAAAAUAUGUUGAAUUAA